AUAAUUUUGUCUUACUUUAUUUUUUUUGUAUUUUAUGAGAAAUAUCUUUAUAUUUAGUAUAUUAAAGAAAUAUUUGUUUUUGUUAUAGUAUAUUAGUACUGUUAAGGAAUUGAUGAAAUAGUUUAAAUUUGAAUUUUUCAUAAGUAUGUUUGAUUUACAGUACCUUUUGUAUCAGGGUUAAUCAAAUAAAUUAAUUUAUAUUUAUAUCUCGAUUUCAAAAGAGCUAAAGUGUUAUUUUAGUUAAUGUGUCAUAAUUAUUUAUAAUACAUUUUAGUAGAGAAAUUUUAUUCGUUUUUGAGGGUAUCUAGUUUUUUAAGAAUUAAAUUUAAUUUAUCUUUAUUAUUUAACUGUUAUAUUUUCAUUUAAGUUAUUUAUUAAAGGAGAAAUUAUAGGGGAUAAGCUCUAUACUUUUCUAUAAUAUUUUUAUUAAUAAAUUUUGGUAGGUUUAAAAUUAUCCAUCUUUAGUGAGUUUGUUAUAAAUUAUGUUUUCAAUUAAUUAAUUUUGUUUUUUUUAGAAUAUUAUUAAAAUACCAUAAAUAAUUAAUUAUUUUGGGAAAUAAUGAUUAAAUUAGUAUAAAAAUAUGUUUAUUAUUUUAUAACCUUUAUGAUAAAGUAAGGAACUCGGCAAAUAUAGUUCUCGCCUGUUUAACAAAAACAUGUCCUUUUGAAUUUAAUUGAAGGUCUGACCUGCCCAGUGAUGAAUUUAACGGCCGCGGUAUACUGACCGUGCAAAGGUAGCAUAAUCAUUAGUCUUUUAAUAGAGGGCUGGAAUGAAUGGUUUAACGAGGAACUGACUGUCUCACUUUAUUUGUUUUAAAAUUUAAUUUUUUAGUCAAAAAGCUAAAAUUCUAUUGGAAGACGAGAAGACCCUAUAGAUCUUUAUAUAAUUUAUUAUAAUCAUUUUUAUAUCAAUGUGAUUAUAUUAACUUGUAUUUUGUUGGGGUGACAAAAAUAUAUAAUUAACUUUUCUAUUUAUUUACCAUUGAUAUAUGAAUAUUAGAUCCAUUACUAGUGAUUGUUAGAUUAAGUUACCUUAGGGAUAACAGCGUAAUCCUCCUCCAGAGUUCAUAUUUACAGGAAGGGCUUGCGACCUCGAUGUUGGAUUAAGAUAAUAGUUAGGUGUAGCCGCUUAAUUUAUAGGUCUGUUCGACCUUUAAACUCUUACAA
rnacentral:rRNA from 1 species